UGAAAGUAGUCCAGUUUGUUCUAGGAAAUUUCUACACAAUUCCUUCAGUUAGAGGAAGAAAAAUGAACUGCAUCUUUGUCUUCUCAUGUCUUGCAGGUCUCAGUCUGGGGCUUGAGGUUCAUCAGUCCCACUCUGAUCUCAUCAAAAAAGCUGGUGACAAAAUUCAGAUUUUCUGCAGCCAUGAAAGAACCAACUACAGAGUUAUGCUCUGGUACCAACAGUCACCCGGAGACACAGCCAUGAAGCUUAUCGGAUAUUUGUACUUCAAAGAUGUAAUUAUGGAAGACGGCUAUCAAAAGGACUUUCGAAUUUCAGGAGAUCUGGGAGGGGAAACAGCAAAGAAUGGCUCUCUGAUAAUCCAAACCUUAGAACAAGUUCACACUGGUGUUUACUACUGUGCUGCACGAGAAGCACAAUGA